rnacentral:rRNA from 1 species
GACGAACGCUGGCGGCGUGCUUAACACAUGCAAGUCGAACGGAAAGGCCCUGCUUUUGUGGGGUUCUCGAUUGGCGAACGGGUGAGUAACACGUGAGUAACCUGCCCUUGACUUUGGGAUAACAUCACGAAACUGGGGCUAAUAUCGGAUAGGAGCUCCUGCUCCAUGGUGGGCGUUGGAAAGUUUCGGCGGUUGGGGAUGGACUCGCGGCUUAUCAGCUUGUUGGUGGGGUAGUGGCUUACCAAGGCUUUGACGGGUAGCCGGCCUGAGAGGGUGACCGGGCACAUUAGGACUGAGGUACGGCGCAGACUCCUACGGGAGGCAGCAGGGGGGAAUAUUGCACAGUGGGCGGAAGCCUGAUGCAGCAACGCCGCGUGCGGGAAGACGGCCUUCGGGUUGUAAACCGCUUUCGCCUGUGACGAAGCGUGAGUGACGGUAAUGGGUAAAGAAGCACCGGCUAACUACGUG